rnacentral:rRNA from 1 species
GAUGAACGCUGGCGGCGUGCCUAACACAUGCGAGUCGAACGGAGAUUCCGGACGGAAGUUUUCGGAUGGAAGACUGUAAUUCUUAGUGGCGGACGGGUGAGUAACGCGUGGGCAACCUGCCCUAUACAGGGGGAUAGCAGCUGGAAACGGCUGGUAAGACCGCAUAAGUCGGCGAGACCGCAUGGUUUUGCCGGGAAAUGAGCAAUCAGGUAUAGGAUGGGCCCGCGUCCGAUUAGCCAGUUGGCAGGGUAAAAGCCUACCAAAGCAACGAUCGGUAGCCGGACUGAGAGGUCGGACGGCCACAUUGGGACUGAGACACGGCCCAAACUCCUACGGGAGGCAGCAGUGGGGGAUAUUGCACAAUGGAGGAAACUCUGAUGCAGCGACGCCGCGUGAGUGAAGAAGUAUUUCGGUAUGUAAAGCUCUAUCAGCAGGGAAGAUGAUGACGGUACCUGACUAAGAAGCCCCGGCUAACUACGUG